GUUUCGUGACAGUGACCCCUAUCAAGGGGUCAUUACAAGUAUUACGUGUGUCUAUAGACCUUGCCAUAACUGGUUUAGGAAAUCUGUAAAGGUGGAGACUGCAUCAAUGGCAACGGUAUGUGCCCACCCAUUGUAGACAUGGGCAGUGUGUCGCCAUGUGAUCUGCUGCUGGGUUUAAAAGCUUAUGGCCAACAGAGAAGGACACAGUAUACAAUCACACAUUGAAGCUCAUUUCAAGUCCACAACUCACAGUCUCAGGCAAGUGCUGCAGCAUGUCUGACACAGAGGAAGCUGCCAAUGAG